GCUACAUUUAAUUCUUUGGACUUUUCAUAAAAUUGCUAUUUAAUUCACAGAAGGCUCCUUGAAUGUCCACAUGGUGGCACUGCAUCUUUAAAGACUGUUGCAGGAUGCUAACAGACACAGAUAAUCAUCCAUUGGGGUGCUACGGACCCAGUGACCAUCCACUCAGACACUCAGCCAGUCCAAUAUGAACAAGUUAUAUUUUCUAGGGGUUUCCCCAGUUUCCAGCUGCAAGACCAUGUAAAGCCAGACCCAUGAGUGAUCUGCAGUCUCUACACGAACCACCAUCUCAGCCCUGCCCUCUCCUCCCUCUCUCACUGUGUGUGGAAAAAAGAUGGUCAUUCAAGAGUGAGACUCACAUAAGCUGCAGUGCUGAGCUGAGGCAUGUGAAAGAUCCUGAGGAUGCAGGAAGCUGUA